rnacentral:rRNA from 1 species
UCGGAUCGGAGUCUGCAACCCGACUCCGUGAAGCUGGAUUCGCUGUAAUCGCGCAUCAGCCAUGGCGCGGUGAAUACGUUCCCGGGCCUUGUACACACCGCCCGUCAAGCCAUGGGAGCCGGGGGUGCUUGAAGUGCGUCGCCGCAAGGCGCCCGCCCUAGGGCAAAACCGGUGACUGGGGCUAAGUCGUAACAAGGUAGC